CAGCAGCCGCCGCGGGAAUACGAAGGGGGCUAGCGUUGCUCGGAAUUACUGGGCGUAAAGGGCGCGUAGGCGGCGCUCCAAGUUAGGCGUGAAAUUCCCGGGCUCAACCUGGGGACUGCGCUUAAGACUGGAGUGCUUGAGGAUGGAAGAGGGUUGUGGAAUUCCCAGUGUAGAGGUGAAAUUCGUAGAUAUUGGGAAGAACACCGGUGGCGAAGGCGGCAACCUGGUCCAUUACUGACGCUGAGGCGCGAUAGCGUGGGGAGCAAACAGGAUUAGAUACCCGAGUAGUCCCUGUCUCUUAUAC
rnacentral:rRNA from 1 species